rnacentral:rRNA from 1 species
AACUUGCUGAUAUUUAAUAGUAGGCUUAUUCUGCUCAAUGAUAAAUUAAAUAGCCGCAGUACCUUGACUGUGCAAAGGUAGCAUAAUCAAUUGGCUUAUAAAUGAAGUCUAGAAUGAAUGGAUUCAUGAAAAAUAGCUGUCUUUAAUUAAUUAAUACUAAAUUAUUUAGUAGGUGAAAAUACCUAUAGCUAAACAAUAGACGAGAAGACCCUAAAAAUUUUUUAAAAAAUAAGUUUAUAAUUAUUUCUAUUUUACUGGGGCGGUAAAGUAACAAAUUUUAAACUUACUUUAUUAAUUAUAGAUGUUUGAAUAAGAGAAAAAACUAAAUUACUUUAGGGAUAACAGCAUAAUCUUAAUUAGGUUUGUGACCUCGAUGUUGGACUAGGAAUCUACUAAGUUAGACACUUAGCAGAUGGGUUCUGUUCGAACUUUUAAUCCUACAUG